ensembl:lncRNA
GAUUAAAUGAGAUGUGACCACAUGUGUGUGAAGUAAGAUACUAAUUCAUAUUUUCUGAAAGUGAGAUACUUAAUGAUAUUGUCCAUAAAAUUUGGGUAUUUUGCUCCCAUAUUUACGGAAAUAAACUUUUUGCAGUUCAAGCUUUCUCUAUCCUUGAAAAUAGAAACUUUUCAAGGGGAUCAGACUGCUUUCUUCACUAGGAUUUUUACUUUAAUGGGUGGGGCCUCCUGAUUCCUAUAAAAGGCAUGAAGCAUGUGCAAGGAAAAAAACCCAAAACCAAAUGAAUGAAACUACUGACAUCUUGGCGAUUACUUGUUAUUGCGGCACAGAGCAGCCUGCCCUGACUGGUGCAAUUUCUGGUAUCUGGAUACUAUGUAACUCAUCCUCCUGGAACCCAGAUAUGGCCUCAGAGGAAGGUGGGAUCCAGAACUGGCUGAUUAAACUCCACCUUCCUGCUGAACAUGAGCUCCUGAAAGAAUCAGCUAGCAUCAUAGAAGAAAAUGAAGCACACACAUUUCUUCUCUUCUGGAGUGUGUGAGCUGAGGUUCGUGUAUGAUGGUAUUGAAACUCUCGGGUGUUCAUCAGUGCUGUCCUCUCCUCACUUCCUCAUGGACUUUUCAGAAGAUGGGAUGUGUUUUCAUCCACCUCCACCCAGUGCAUACUGGCUCGCACUGGGCCUGACAUCUGAAGAUCAGUCAGUGGAAGGUGUUCUCUGGCGUCUCUGCCACCAGCUUCGGGAGAAGGAAGAGCCCAGCAAGGAGACCCUGGGAUUGCCCGGUUCCCCAGCAUCAGCAUUACUUGGCAGCCCACCUCAGCACCUCUUGAGAACCAUCCUCCACAGUCAUUUCCUGUGGUUGAGGUGGCUGCCUGCCCCACCGCCUGGGCAAUCAGAACCAGGGACUGUAUCCAGGAUGGGCGUGCUCAGUGGACAGAAAGGAAGCCUCAAGCUUUUACAGCCACCACUUGGCCGCCUGCCCAGGAAAGUUCUAUAGGCUGAGCUAUCGCAGAAGGAAGACAAGCAGAAGGAGUCAGUGAAAGUCACGACCCCAUGGACUAUACAAUCCCUGGAAUUCUCCAGGCCAGAAUACUGGAGGGGGUAGCCUUUCCCUUCUCCAGGGGAUCUUCCCAACCCAGGGAUCGAACCCAGGUCUCCUGCAUUGCAGGCAGAUUCUUUACCAGCUGAGCUACAAGAGAAGUCCAAGCAGAGGGAAGAGACAUAUACUUCUGAUGACAUAGUUUGAGCACCAGGAUUCAGGUGAAUCUGAGGCCAUUGACUAGUGAAUAAACUCCCCAGUUUUGCCCCAGCUGAUUGUGGGUAGUUACUGCCUUCUAAAGCCUUUGUUCUUUCCUGACCCCAUAGCCCCUCCAGGAGGUACACAGGUGUCUCUUUUCUUUCCCUCCUUCAUCAUGUAAUUUCUAGAAGAAAGAAACCUCAGAACAAGGAAAGCCAAGGUGCACCAAAAAUAACAACCCAAACUCCACACAGAUAAAACUUGUUUCCUCUUUUCCCCAACCUCAGGAUGUUUUGGUUUCCAAAGAAACCAUAGGAAAUCACAACUGACUUCUUCAUCUUUUUUUUUUUUCUGAGUCUUUUAUCAAAUAUUUCUG